GCAGGUAGACCGUUGCUAUGCGCGUCGCGGACAGGCCUGAUGUCAUGUUUGGCGCGCAACCUCGCGCGGGGACACUGCAGCGAGAGAGUGAGAGUGUCCCUGAUGACUGGAUUCUCCUCAAAUUAUUCCUGCUUGCUGUAUUAUGGCUGGUCAAGUUAACUAUUCACGGUAGGAGCCAAAACGAGCCUCAGGGAACCGGGACAUUAACGCGACAGCGUUAACCUACUCUUAGCCGUUCUUAUAUGAUAUUAUGCGUGGUUUCCUGAGUGAAUUAAAGCAGAUUGUGUUAAAUAACUAUUAGCAGUUAUUUUAUCAUUUCAGGCGCUGUUUCCUGAGUGAAUUAACACUUGUCAGUGAUGAGGGCCUAUUUCGAAAUGAGCACUACACCACUGAAAUUGAAGGAAAGGUGGCAGGUGCACAGUGCGCUGUUCGGAUCGUGGGAUUAUAUUGGACGAAAGUGUGAAGGUUUGAGGAGCAGUUGCAGCUGCAGUGUGUGUGAUGUCACUCUGAACUCAAUAGAACAGUACUACGCACAUCUCCAGGGCUCCAGACACCAAAACAA